rnacentral:rRNA from 1 species
GACGAACGCUGGCGGCGUGCUUAACACAUGCAAGUCGAACGGAAAGGCCCUGCUUUUGUGGGGUGCUCGAGUGGCGAACGGGUGAGUAACACGUGAGUAACCUGCCCUUGACUUUGGGAUAACUUCAGGAAACUGGGGCUAAUACCGGCUAGGAGCUCCUGCUGCAUGGUGGGGGUUGGAAAGUUUCGGCGGUUGGGGAUGGACUCGCGGCUUAUCAGCUUGUUGGUGGGGUAGUGGCGUACCAAGGCUUUGACGGGUAGCCGGCCUGAGAGGGGGACCGGCCACAUUGGGACUGAGAGACGGCCCAGACUCCUACGGGAGGCAGCAGGGGGGAAUCUUGCACAAUGGGCGGAAGCCUGAUGCAGCAACGCCGCGUGCGGGAUGACGGCCUUCGGGUUGUAAACCGCUUUCGCCUGUGACGAAGCGUGAGUGACGGUAAUGGGUAAAGAAGCACCGGCUAACUACGUG